CCCCGCCGCGCACCUGCGGCAGCGCCGCCGCUCCCGCCCGCCGAACCGCCCGGCCGGGGCCGCUCACGGCCCCGCUCGCCGCAACUGCGCUCACACACCGGUCAGCAUAUGUGUGAUGGCUAAAGGUUAAUAACCUGUAAAAGAGCUGAUUCUGGAGAUCUGAGUGAAAUGGCACUUUUGGAAUUGUACUUUUAACCACACCACGCUGGGGAAAGUGCAGAAGCUCUGUAUAUGUGCAUAUGAGAGGAAUUUGUGCCAUGCAGAUGAGUUUGCAGACACGGUGACAGAGAGGGACCACAGGUGAGUCCCCAGCGAUCUGCUUUGCCAAGAGGAUUUUUCCAGCCCCUAAUCACAGAAAAGCCCUCCAUCUGCUCCUCAGAGUUGGCGAUUCUCAUCUGUUUCAAGUGAAAAUAACCAAGAAUAUAAAAUGGCAGGCAAAAAAGAAUUCCCAGGCAAGUAACCGUGUUGUCCUGCAUUCCCCCCAGCCAGUAUUCCCCGGUGCUGAGGUCCCGGUCCCUGGGCGAGUGAAAAGAGCUGCAAAGGGUUAAGCCGCUGACUUCCUUGCUAGGCAAAGUUUGAAGAAGAAUAUGUCUGAGGCUGGAUACGCUGCAGCCCCGCGUUUGAAAUCUGUCACACUCACUUAGGAGCGCUGCAUCUCUGGUUGUCACCGAUGAAUAAUGAUCGCACGGCGAUAAGAUCGCUCGGCGGCGGUGCGCCGGGGCCGCCUGGGGGAAGAGAAGACAGGAAAUUGUGAGGCGUUUAGCCGCUUCAACGGGGUGUUCUUCAGUGUCAUCGGUGGGUGUCAGGGUCAAAUGUCCGGCUGGAGAGCAGUUUGAGAAGAUAAUUUCUUUCCUCCUUUCCUUGAGAGCAACCUUGGGUGUUGGCGACCAUUGGCAUCUAUGGAAAACAGAGACCUCGGUGGUGAUCCUUAAAACAGUACCAUGCUGGAGCCCAGCUGUGCUGCCACUUUCUCCCCUUUCAACCUGCCGGACCCGGUGGGCUUUGGGUGACCUACCGAGAAGGAACCCACUUCCGCAGGAACAGGCAGACCAGAUCUGGCAGAUAGUGAAUAUGAGGACUUUGCUGACUUCAGAAAGCUGACAGAAGCCAACAGACUUCAGUGAAAUACCCCUCCAAGCACAGAGACUUUUGGUAGCUUUAAAGUAACCUGUUGUUCAUUCGCAAAGACAUGGCUACUGGCUCUUUCAGCGCACAUGGAGGAAGGCAACAAACAUUGUAACCCUGGCUAAUAAGACUGUGUUUUCCUUUAUCAGAACUAGGAGGUAGGCCAAUUAUAAAAGGAUUAUUUUCUGCUUAGCCUCCAGGACUUUAACUCUUGCCUGAACACUGGACAUAAAUAGAAGCCAAUUUUAAUGACCUGAGAUUUUGUUACCUGUGCAUUAUUAUUGUUAUCAGCUCUUAAACAUUUGCUAC
rnacentral:lncRNA from 1 species